GUAGCACUUGAGCAGUUUUUGGAAUUGGAAACAUCCAGUGUGUGUGGCUGAAAAGAUGGCCUAAUAAGGCCAUCCCAAUGGAGGAAGCCAUGGCCCUAAAAUACACAGGAUAUAUCUUGCUCUGUACCACUGCCAACUGCUGCCUUGGCAGCACACUCGCCAGCACAUAGCUAGAGAUGAAGGUAUUCCACACACCCAUUCCCAAAGCCAUAGCAAAU
rnacentral:misc_RNA from 1 species